CUUUUUGAUUAAAACGGUUCUAUAAUUUUUGAAUCAUAACAUAAUUAUUUAGUAAAGAUUAUGAAAUAAUUAUAAGUUAUAACACAGAGAGACAAAGCUUUUUGAGUCAAAACCUAAUAAAAUGAAUGCUGUCGUCAAAAACUUAAUCAGUGUACAGUAUGAUGGGAUUUUUUUAUGCAGGUUUGUACAAUAGCAUAUAACUUAUAGGCCUAGUUUAUGUUUAACAUUUUUGACAAAUUAUUUUGUGAAAUAAAUAAAAUAACCAAUUUAUUUAGACUGUGCAGUAACAUGUUGUUAUGGUUAAAUAAUUUAUUUGAAACUAAUAAUCAUAAAAAAGCCCUCUGGUGACGUCAGUCAUUGACAAGGACAUCGUCAUGGACAGGUGGUGAAGAGCCUCGAGAGAAGGUUAAUUUUUCGAAAGGAGAAGUCCACUAUUUCAGCUUCAUCAUUCAGCCUGGAAACUGAACUGCUUCAUAAAACUUGUGCUUGAAAAGUGUCAUGGGACCCAUAUUAAGUUUCCAAAUUUGAUCUGCUGCACACAAGUAGCUUUGAAGAAGAAGGAUCCCAGCUUAAAGAAAAAUAUGUGUCACAUCCAUAAUUGUUUGACAUCAUCUUCAAGCACACCUGUGAGAAUAUUAAGGUCGUUGCUUAAAAAAAGUCCUGCAGAGAAGAAAUAUGUAUUGAAAGGUGUAAAUUUGCCUACAGGAUUCCUUGUUGCAAUGUCUUCAAAACAAAUGUAAAAAUGAAAGGAUUUCAGUGGUGAGCUCAUAAUGGUGGGAUCAAAAGGAAGUGAACUGGACUCUGAGGGACUUAACACAAGGCAAGUUCAUUUCAAUACAUUUAAUGUCAAGAUUAAUUCUGUGAUUUAAAUUCAUAUUUACACAUUCUACAAAUGCUGUCUUCCUACCUCAGAUUGUGAUGGACCUAGAAUGCGACAUCGUUUACGAAUAAGUCAAGAACCAAAUGAAACACACUAUUUUCCAGAGUACAGAUUAUGGAGGGGUCUGCAAAACUAAUGGAGAAGUUUCUUCUUCUUGGAGUGCCACAGCUUGAUGCUGCAUAUAAGGACUUAGUGAAGGACACAGAAACAUCUUUAAAAGAAAUGGCCCGAUAGAAGGGAAGGAAAGAAGGAAGUACUCAGCAUUGAAAUAUUGUUUUACAGAAAUCCAAAGAUCCUAACAGCUCUCCUGAUUCCGUCAAGGCUUGAAGUGUCAGCAUUACGAUGGCCAACACUCGCUCACUAUCCUUCUGCUCCCUCAUUUAUCAGAGGCACCACAGUAGAAUGAAUUAGCAAUUACUCUUCACUUUCCAGCCUCAACCCAGCACUGGGAAACACCCAUACACUCUCUCAUACACCUGCACACAUUCACUCACUGUGGCCAAUUCACCAAUAUCGUACGCAUGCCUUUGGACUGUGGGGCCAACCGGAGCACCCAGAGGAAACCCACACAAACACUGGGAGAACUUGCAAACUUUACACAGAAACACCAACUGACCCAGUCGGGACUCGAACCAGUGACCUUCUUGCUGUGAUGUGACAGUUCUAAUCAGUAAGCCACUGUGCCACCCAUGGACAAAACUAUUUACGUUAUAAGAGAGGCCGGCAAACAUGGACAAGCUACAGGUUGUGGAAUGGCUGUUCUCAGUGUUUUGUCUUAUCAUUUUGCGGUGUUUUGUAUGCCAUUAAGCACUUUCUUCAAUAACUUUCAUUGAAAAUUAUGUAUAAAAAUAGAUGUUGCCAUGACCAAUACAUACAUGUACCAUCAACUUGUUGAAAUUGUAGUGUUAUUUAAUAGAUGUUUGCAUGGGCGUGGUAGUGGGGGGGAAAGUGGACCUGACUACCCAGGGCCCCGUCUAGGGAGAGGGCCCUUUGAAAUCCCACCAAUUUUUUAUUAUUAUUGUUUUUUGUAGCCUACUUCGAAUUAAUUGGCCCCUCCAAUUGAUGUCAAUGUCAUUAUUUAUUUCAAAAUAUAUUGAUAACACCCCCCCCCGAAAUGGUUUAGUCCGCCUAUAGACGGCAGCCGGCAGCAAACAAGUAACGCAGUGAGUCUAGAGCCUGAUCAUGCUGCGCAAAAAGUUCAAAUCGGGCUUUCAAAAAAAGAAAGACAGGAAGGAAAAAGAUAGGAGGCAGAAUGAGGGGAAGCAGCUGAUGACUGCUUUCUUUUCAAAAGGUGAACUGAGUUUGCUUGUUAUGAAACUACAUCUAAUUAAAGUUAACAUAGUCAACUCCAGACAGCUGCUGCUAAUGCAGGGCUCGAAAUUGUGACCAUUUUGGUCGCAUAUAAUGCUGAUUUGUGUACAGUCAUUACUAGGAAAACCGUAAUAUUUCAGCGCCCCUAAAGCGCCCCCUUGUGACAGAGAAUGAAUUUUUAUUUCCAAUAAAUUUUUUCAGCUGUUUAUGGUCAAAUUAUUGCAAUUAUCGAUCCAUGUGCAAAUGUGAAAGAAGUUUAUGUGCCUUUUAAAAAUCUAAACUAUUAAGUAAUACUAAUAUAAGAAAUUAUAUACUUGAUUUAUCCCUUUUAAUGGUAUGAAGGUUGAAAUGCCAUUGUAUUAGAUAUUUUGUGUCUGUAUACGUCUGCAAGAUGUUUGUUAAAGAUCUUUUGAUCUGGAAAGCACCUGCUGUAUACAAACGUCUGGCAGACGUCUGUAUGAUGUCAGUUUUACACACAUUCUGAACCGCAAACAUCUUAAAGAUGUCUAAUAGAAGUCUAUUUCACAUCUGAUAGGAAACGUCUUGUAGAUGUCUUGCAGAUGUGAAUGCAGACGUCAAAUAGACAUCUCUGAGAUGUACGUGUGCUAAUCAAAAUCGGCCAUUAAGAAUCACGAUCAGCGCAUAACCAAAAAGAAAAUGGGUGCUCCUAAAUUUUUUGGGAUGCUCCUAACUUUUUGAAGUUGGGAGCACCAGUGCUACCAAGUAAAAAAGUUAAUUUCGAGCCCUGUAAUGUAUGUAUGCUAAUGUUAAAUCUUUAGCUUAGUUUGUCAACCAGGCUGCUUGUUGCUGUAAGUAAAUUAUGGGCCAGGCCAGCUAAGGUUUCUGAGUGUACAGUUGUCUCGUGUUCUCCUGUUCAAAAAUAAAUGUUUUUAAAUCAAAA